rnacentral:rRNA from 1 species
AGAGUUUGAUCAUGGCUCAGGAUGAACGCUGGCGGCAUGCCUAAUACAUGCAAGUCGUACGCAAUCACUUUUUUCGCUCGCAGCCGUGGAAUGCAAGUUCCACCAUUGCGAGCGGAAGCAAUGAGUGAUUGAGUGGCGGACGGGUGAGUAACACGUUGGUACCUGCCCCGAAGUGGGGAAUAACUGCUCGAAAGGGUAGCUAAUACCCCAUAGUCUACGGUUUAUCCGUAGUAAAGAUUUAUCGCUUCGGGAGGGGCCUGCGUCUGAUUAGCUAGUUGGUUGAGGUAAUGGCUCACCAAGGCGAUGAUCAGUAGCUGGAUCGAGAGGUUGACCAGCCACACUGGGACUGAGAUACGGCCCAGACUCCCACGGGAGGCAGCAGUAAGGAAUCUUCCACAAUGGGCGAAAGCCUGAUGGAGCAAUGCCGCGUGCAGGAAGACGCUUUUCGGAGUGUAAACUGCUUUUCUGAAGGAAGAUUAUGACGGUACUUCAGGAAUAAGGAUCGGCUAACUACGUGCCAGCAGCCGCGGUAAUACGUAGGAUCCAAGCGUUAUCCGGAAUUACUGGGCGUAAAGCGUGCGCAGACGGUUUGAUAGGUCGAUUGCGAAAUCCCGUGGCUCAACCAUGUGGACUGUAAUCGAAACCAUCUGACUAGAGGUAGGUAGAGGCAAGUGGAAUUUCUGGUGUAGGGGUGACAUCCGUAGAUAUCAGAAGGAACACCAAUGGCGAAGGCAGCUUGCUGGGCCUUACCUGACGUUCAGGCACGAAAGCGUGGGGAGCAAACAGGAUUAGAUACCCCGGUAGU